AGUAAGGAAGGUGAGCUUCAAGGAGCGCCUGCAGUCAUCUAGAUCUGAGCUUCCAACCCCACUGUGUUUGCUGCUUUUGUAUCAGUGGGGCAAAUACUCGAGAGAGGCAAAUUAAGGUAGGGAGGCUCCUUUGGGUUCAGUUUCAGUCUGACAUGGCAGUGCGGGCAUGGAGCCUGGGAAGGCCUCAUCUAUGGCCGCAGAAUCAGGAGAGCGCUCUGCACGAGUUUGCUUGGCGAGGAAGCAGAGAGACCAGGAUUCAAAGCAAGCCUAGGCUACCACUCUCAAGACCUCGGGUGAGCCAUGUUUGCCAGUUAGCUCGUAAUUCUCAAAGCUCCCAGACAGUGCCAUCAGCUGAUGAUUGCCAGGAUGCUUGCUACCAAAAUGAGCCGUUCAUCUAACUGCCACAUCUUCAGAUGAUGACGCAGAGGUCAAGGAAGAUGGAGAGCGAUCAUGGCGCUUGCUGGCCGAUGACUGGCAGAGGCGCAGAGGUCAAGAAAGAUGCAGAGCGAUCAUGGCGCGGUGGGCACUGGCAGAGGGACAUCAAAACUGGUCUGCAUCAAACCCACCUCCAGAGAGUGCAAGCCAUCACCUCAGGAUCUCAUAGACAAACAAGCAAACAUCAAAGGAAGAAAAAUCUGACUCUCGAAAGGAUGCCGGGUGGCUCUUGCCUGUCUCCUUGUCUUUAAUAUAUAGUGCCAGGUUGCCUCCAACUACAGUUGCCAAUAAACAGUUUCAAAAUGU
rnacentral:lncRNA from 1 species